rnacentral:lncRNA from 1 species
GAAGGUAUUCGGUGAACUUUGUUUUACAGCGUUUUGUGGCCAGUUACAAAUUUGGGUCAUGCCCUGCAAUCAAUCUCUGCCGGGAACUUUCACUGAGGCCAUCAGGGGAAUCAGAAAUAAAAUGUUAGAGGCAGGAUCAAGAAUGCACAGAUGAGCCGGAGAAACUUGGGACUGGCUUUCUGGAUGCGUGAUGAAAGAAGAGCUGGAUGAUGCCAGGACAAGCCCAGAACUAGGUUCUCAUCCAACGUCACUCAAAAUGAAACCUGGGUGCGCUUCCCUCCCUCUCUGAUGGCACGGAGGCUUUACUGACUUACGGGCUGAGACCGAAUCAUCUCUCUGUGAUUAUUUCAUUGGCUGCAAGGUGCAUGAAAUAAUGGUUACAACAUGAGACUGUACUGCGUCUGAGAAAACAGGGGGAACAGCCAAGUCUAAAGAAUGUUCUAUGUCUUAUCGGCAAGUAUACACCGUCUUUGUCUGAGAAGCUUAGCAAAUUUCUGAAGGAAUGAGUGAAAUUCUCCCCAAAAUCUGGUGAGCGAAAGUGACUCUUUAAUAAACAUGCUUCUUUGGAAGAAAUCUGGCUUUCAUCUCCAAAACGUGAGUGAGAGGAGGGACUGGGAACACCGUUGUCAUUUUCUCGGGAGGACCACAAAGAUGUUUCAAGGUCUUCCCAGAAGCAAGCUAUAGAGGUGGGCUCCUUCUGUCCACGAGAGUCUCUCUUCGAGAGGAGUGGCACAGCAACAAAAGUCGAAGGUUACAUUCAAACUGCCAAGAUUCCCCCAGGACUGAAAUGGAGGUCAUCCCUUAAACCCCCAAAUCCCAGGGAAGAAAAUGUGAUCCUAAAUAUGGAGAUCCUAUCAACAUUCCAUUUAGCCCUCUGAGCAUGCCGAUAUAGACACAGAAAGUGCCUGAGAGCCAUCAGCAUGUCUAACAGUGGGGCCUCUCAUCAAGAACAUAAUAGCUGAAAUUCUGAGUGCCUUUGUGUUCCAUAACAUUCCAAAGGCUCCAAGCACAUUAUCUGACCGUUUCUGAUGAUAACCCAACAAAGGAGGCUGAUAGGAUCAUCCGCAUUCAGCUGCUGAAGACCAUGAGCUGAAAAGAAAUCAGCCUGAAGUGGCCCAG